rnacentral:rRNA from 1 species
GAUGAACGCUGGCGGCGUGCCUAAUACAUGCAAGUCGAGCGAACAGACGAGGAGCUUGCUCCUCUGACGUUAGCGGCGGACGGGUGAGUAACACAUGGAUAACCUACCUAUAAGACUGGGAUAACUUCGGGAAACCGGAGCUAAUACCGGAUAAUAUAUUGAACCGCAUGGUUCAGUAGUGAAAGACGGUUUUGCUGUCACUUAUAGAUGGAUCCGCGCCGCAUUAGCUAGUUGGUAAGGUAACAGCUUACCAAGGCAACGAUGCGUAGCCGACCUGAGAGGGUGAUCGGCCACACUGGAACUGAGACACGGUCCAGACUCCUACGGGAGGCAGCAGUAGGGAAUCUUCCGCAAUGGGCGAAAGCCUGACGGAGCAACGCCGCGUGAGUGAUGAAGGUCUUCGGAUCGUAAAACUCUGUUAUUAGGGAAGAACAAAUGUGUAAGUAACUAUGCACGUCUUGACGGUACCUAAUCAGAAAGCCACGGCUAACUACGUG